AUUGAACGCUGGCGGCAUGCCUUACACAUGCAAGUCGAACGGCAGCACGGGAGCAAUCCUGGUGGCGAGUGGCGAACGGGUGAGUAAUGCAUCGGAACGUACCCGGGAGUGGGGGAUAACGUAGCGAAAGUUACGCUAAUACCGCAUAUUCUGUGAGCAGGAAAGCAGGGGAUCGCAAGACCUUGCGCUGAUGGAGCGGCCGAUGUCAGAUUAGCUAGUUGGUGGGGUAAAGGCUCACCAAGGCGACGAUCUGUAGCGGGUCUUAGAGGAUGAUCCGCCACACUGGAACUGAGACACGGUCCAGACUCCUACGGGAGGCUG
rnacentral:rRNA from 1 species